rnacentral:rRNA from 1 species
CCUACGGGUGGCUGCAGUGAGGAAUAUUGGUCAAUGGACGGAAGUCUGAACCAGCCAUGCCGCGUGCAUGAAGACGGCUCUAUGAGUUGUAAACUGCUUUUGUACAAGGGUAAACCUGAAUACGUGUAUUCAGCUGAAAGUACUGUACGAACAAGCAUCGUCUAACUCCGCGCCAGCAGCCGCGGUAAUACGGAGGAUGCGAGCUUUAUCCGGAUUUAUUGGGUUAAAAGGGGGCGCAGGCGGAAGAUCAAGUCAGCGGUAAAAUUGAGAGGCGAAACCUCGUAGAGCAGUUGAUACUGGUGUUCUUGAGUGAGCGAGAAGUAUGCGGAAUGCGGUGUGUAGCGGUGAAAUGCAUAGAGAUCACGCAGAACUCCGAUUGCGAAGGCAGCAUACCGGCGCUCAACUGACGCUCAGGCACGAAAGUGUGGGUAGCGAACAGGAUUAGAUACCCCAGUAGUC